UCCCACUAAACUUGAAGUAUAUAGUAAGUACCAAAUCACAAGCUAUGGCUACGGGGCUUGCAAGUUUUGUGUGUAAAAGAGGAGCUUCAUGCAUCAUCGGACGAUUCGGAACUCUCGCAGACUUGAGCCCUAAAAGAAGUCUGAAAACCCUAGGCCAAACCUCGUAAUUUUCUCUAGAAUGGACGAAAGCAUUCCUAUCCAACAGAAUUCCAGUUCCUCUGAUGGCGGAGUGUCCAUUGCUAGGGCUUCGAUAACGUCCAACGGAGGAGAUGAUCGCAUGGUUCACUUCGCACUGUCUCGGUUGAGUGCUCUCAAGAUCCAGAAAGGAGAUAUCACUCGGUGGUUCGUCGAUGGUACUUCCGACGCGAUUGUAAAUGCAGCCAAUGAGCGAAUGCUUGGGGGUGGUGGAGUAGAUGGAGCCAUACAUAGAGCUGCUGGGCCUGAACUGCGAGCAGCAUGCUACAAUGUCCCCGAGGUCCGACCUGGAGUUCGUUGUCCUACAGGAGAAGCAAGGAUUACCCCAGCUUUUAAACUGCCUAUAUCUCAUGUAAUUCACACUGUUGGACCCAUCUAUUAUGUGGAUGAUCACCUAGAAGUUUCUCUAAGAAGUGCCUACAGGAGUUGCUUAAGGCUCGCCAAAGUGAACAACAUCCAGUAUAUUGCUUUUCCUGCCAUAUCCUGUGGUGUUUAUGGUUAUCCUUAUGAAGAAGCUGCUACAAUAGCUAUAUCUACUGUUAAGGAAUUUGCGGAUGAUUUCAAGGAGGUGCAUUUUGUUCUGUUCUCAGAUGAUAUAAAUAACGUUUGGCUGGACAAGGCAAACCAAUUGCUCUAAAUUCGUUGGAUUCGUGAAAAUACAUACCCGAUAUACCAGCCCUUCAACUGUCCCAUCAUUGACCCUGAAGUCAACUGUCAAAUGUACGAUCGACAGGACACGAUUACCAGAAGUGUCGUUGGAAGCCUCUCGAUUGUGAGCUCCCCAGGUUGUAGGUUCAAUGCGCUUGAUUUUCUGGUGAGGAUGAGAGGGAAGACGGUGAUGUUCGUGGGGGAUUCGCUGGGGCGGAACCAAUGGCAAUCUCUGAUUUGCAUGAUAUCCACGGCGGUUCCACGGUUGCCGACCCAAUUGGUGAAAGGACAUCUUCUGUCCACGUUCAAGUUUAUGGAAUACGGAGUGUCUAUCGUUCUACAGAGCUCCAUAUCUGGUGGACAUAGAUGUGUAGGGGAGGAGAAUUCUGAAGCUAGAGGACAUUUCUGGUAAUGCGUAUGCCUGGAGGGGUGCCGACAUUUUGACCUUUAAUUCCAAACAUUGAACUCACAAGGGAGUCACCGGAGGUUGUCGGAGGCAGCAACGGCACUGAUGAAUGGUUUGCAAGAAGAUGAAUAAUUUUUUUGCCCUUAUUUGA